GAGCACUGUUCGUGACCUGCCGGCCUGGCCGUGGCUGACGGGUUCCAUUCCAGUGCCACAGGAACUCCGGCACUGCUGUCGCUCACCGACUGCCCCGAGGCUCUCGGUUUCAGGUGCCGGAGACACUG
ensembl:snoRNA SNORA54 small nucleolar RNA, H/ACA box 54